rnacentral:rRNA from 1 species
AUUGAACGCUGGCGGCAUGCCUUACACAUGCAAGUCGAACGGUAGAGUAGCAAUACUUGAGAGUGGCGAACGGGUGAGUAAUAUAUCGGAACGUGCCCAGUCGUGGGGGAUAACGUAGAGAAAUUUACGCUAAUACCGCAUACGAUCUAAGGAUGAAAGCGGGGGAUUCGCAAGAACCUCGCGCGAUUGGAGCGGCUGAUAUCAGAUUAGGUUGUUGGGUGAGGGUAAAAGCUCGCCAAGCCGACGAUCUGUAGCUGGUUUGAGAGAACGACCAGCCACACUGGGACUGAGACACGGCCCCAGACUCCUACGGGAGGCAGCAGUGGGGAAUUUUUGGGACAAUGGGCGAAAGCCUGAUCCAGCAAUGCCGCGUGCAGG